rnacentral:tRNA from 1 species
GCCGGGGUUGAGCAAUCUGGUCGCUCACCGCGCUCGAGACGCGGCGCCCCUUUGGGGCAUGUGGGUUCAAAUCCCACCUCCGGCGCCA